AUUGAACGCUGGCGGCAUGCCUAACACAUGCAAGUCGAACGCGAAAGGUCCUUCGGGGCCGAGUAGAGUGGCGGACGGGUGAGUAACGCGUGGGAAUCUGCCCAGUAGUGGGGGAUAACUCGGGGAAACUCGAGCUAAUACCGCAUACGCCCUACGGGGGAAAGGCUUCGGCCGCUAUUGGAUGAGCCCGCGUCAGAUUAGCUAGUUGGUAGGGUAAUGGCCUACCAAGGCGACGAUCUGUAGCUGGUCUGAGAGGACGAACAGCCACACUGGGACUGAGACACGGCCCAGACUCCUACGGGAGGCAGCAGUGGGGAAUAUUGGACAAUGGGCGAAAGCCUGAUCCAGCAAUGCCGCGUGUGUGAAGAAGGCCUGCGGGUUGUAAAGCACUUUCAGUG
rnacentral:rRNA from 1 species